GUUUGAUCCUGGCUCAGGAUGAACGCUAGCGGCAGGCUUAACACAUGCAAGUCGAGGGGUAGUUAUCUUCGGAUAAUGAGACCGGCGCACGGGUGCGUAACGCGUAUACAAUCUACCUUUUACAGAGGGAUAGCCCAGAGAAAUUUGGAUUAAUACCUCAUAGUAUUUUUGAAUGGCAUCAUUUGAUUAUUAAAGUUCCAACGGUAAAAGAUGAGUAUGCGUCCCAUUAGCUAGAUGGUAAGGUAACGGCUUACCAUGGCUACGAUGGGUAGGGGUCCUGAGAGGGAGAUCCCCCACACUGGUACUGAGACACGGACCAGACUCCUACGGGAGGCAGCAGUGAGGAAUAUUGGACAAUGGGCGCAAGCCUGAUCCAGCCAUGCCGCGUGCAGGAAGAAGGUCCUAUGGAUUGUAAACUGCUUUUAUACAGGAAGAAACACACCCUCGUGAGGGUACUUGACGGUACUGUAUGAAUAAGGACCGGCUAACUCCGUGCCAGCAGCCGCGGUAAUACGGAGGGUCCAAGCGUUAUCCGGAAUCAUUGGGUUUAAGGGGUCCGUAGGCGGCCAAAUAAGUCAGUGGUGAAAGCCCAUCGCUCAACGAUGGAACGGCCAUUGAUACUGUUUGGCUUGAAUUAUUAGGAAGUAACUAGAAUAUGUAGUGUAGCGGUGAAAUGCUUAGAGAUUACAUGGAAUACCAAUUGCGAAGGCAGGUUACUACUUAUAUAUUGACGCUGAUGGACGAAAGCGUGGGGAGCGACAGAUUAGAUACCCUGGUAGUCCACGCCGUAAACGAUGGAUACUAGCUGUUCGAGCAUCUGAGUGCUAAGCGAAAGUGAUAGUAUCCCACCUGGGGAGUACGUUCGCAGAU
rnacentral:rRNA from 1 species